GACGAACGCUGGCGGCGUGCCUAAUACAUGCAAGUCGAGCGGAACUGGGGGAGCUUGCUCCUUCCAGUUUAGCGGCGGAUGGGUGAGUAACACGUGGGCAACCUGCCCUGCAGAUCGGGAUAACUCCGGGAAACCGGUGCUAAUACCGAAUAGUUUGGCGCCUCUCCUGAGGCGCUACGGAAAGACGGUUUCGGCUGUCACUGCAGGAUGGGCCCGCGGCGCAUUAGCUAGUUGGUGGGGUAACGGCCCACCAAGGCGACGAUGCGUAGCCGACCUGAGAGGGUGACCGGCCACACUGGGACUGAGACACGGCCCAGACUCCUACGGGAGGCAGCAGUAGGGAAUCUUCCGCAAUGGACGCAAGUCUGACGGAGCAACGCCGCGUGAGUGACGAAGGUUUUCGGAUCGUAAAACUCUGUUGUGAGGGAAGAACACGUACCAACUAACUAUUGGUACCUUGACGGUACCUCACCAGAAAGCCACGGCUAACUACGAGCCAGCCGCCGUAAAAC
rnacentral:rRNA from 1 species